UUUUAAGUUGUAAAUUAGCAUUAAUAUAUUCCUGUCAGUCUACCUGUUAACUUGUGAGAUAACACUGUAACACACGAGAUCCUAUUGGCAAGUUGUCUGGCAGUCUAGCUAUCACCUGUUGGUGAAAGUAGAUAUUUAACAUUUAUUGGGAGGAACAGUUAACAACACUGUGAUUGGUGUCGUAACUUAGAUUUCUGAUAUAUACAGAAUUACUGUAAAGAACCUGAGAGGUUUUAAAAGGAGAAUUGGCCAUUUUGGCAGUUGUGAAAUCAUUUGAUAUGCUGUGAUCGAUUUUUAUCUACGUGGUACGACUCGGAACCUGCGGUCGUUGGAUCGUAUGCUUGGUACCUACAGAGAUGUAGGUCGGGAACAGAGAGGCGCCGUAGACAGGUUACGUGAUGACUUAAGGACAACACAGGAUGAACUCCACCGAGAGAGGGUGAGGAGCCCGCUACACCACCGGGAUUAUGGG